rnacentral:rRNA from 1 species
UACAGAGGGUGCAAGCGUUAAUCGGAAUUACUGGGCGUAAAGGGCGCGUAGGCGGUCAGCACAAGUCAGUUGUGAAAUCUCCGGGCUUAACCCGGAAAGGUCAACUGAUACUGUGCGACUAGAGUGCGGAAGGGGCAACUGGAAUUCUCGGUGUAGCGGUGAAAUGCGUAGAUAUCGAGAGGAACACCUGCGGCGAAGGCGGGUUGCUGGGCCGACACUGACGCUGAUGCGCGAAAGCCAGGGGAGCGAACGGG